GCUUAUCACCAUUCCAGAUUGAAUAUACCCGAUCUCGUCUGAUCUCGGAAGUCAAGCAAUCUCGGGGCUUGGUUAGUACUUGGAUGGGUGACCGCUUGGGAAUACCAAGUGUGAUAAGCA
rfam:Ciona savignyi cont_63006, whole genome shotgun sequence.